rnacentral:rRNA from 1 species
UACGAAGGGGGCUAGCGUUGCUCGGAAUCACUGGGCGUAAAGCGCACGUAGGCGGCUUUUUAAGUCAGGGGUGAAAUCCUGGAGCUCAACUCCAGAACUGCCUUUGAUACUGGGGAGCUUGAGUCCGGGAGAGGUGAGUGGAACUGCGAGUGUAGAGGUGAAAUUCGUAGAUAUUCGCAAGAACACCAGUGGCGAAGGCGGCUCACUGGCCCGGUACUGACGCUGAGGUGCGAAAGCGUGGGGGGCAAACAGG